rnacentral:lncRNA from 1 species
AGUUAUGUAAAAGACCCAGGAGUGCAGCUCGGAGGACUGAGGAGAUUAAAGUGAAGCUUUGAAGCUUUGAAGGAUGCAAACAACAUUUUUCGUGGAAUUCCAAGGUAUUUUUUUGCCCAAUCAGAAGACUAGUUCACUUGCCGUGUGAAGGCAACAGUGGAAUCUUCCCCCUGCCCAAGGAGCUUCUGCUCAAUAUAAGUUUUCAUAACGGGAGUAAUUUAAGACUUCACAACUUAUGUGACACGGAAGAAACAACUUUUGCCUAAAAUACAUAAGGGCCAAAUAUAACAAAAUAUUUGUCUUUUCCAUAAAAAUCUUUAAUAUGAUCGUCAUAUUGUAGUUUCUUUAAAGAAUGCUUGUAUUCUUCGGACCUACUAGGGUGAAUUAAAUGAAAAAAAUUUAAAACACUUAAUUAAGCCUGUCCUCUGGGUAUAAAUUGACCUUUACAUGUUUACCAGAGACACCAAUUUUUUAAAUAGGUGUUAAUGACUAGCCGCUGAUUUUGGUGAAACUGCCUAAACGUUUCUUAAGAUUGAGUCAUACCUGGAGUUCCCGUGGCGCAGUGGUUAACGAAUCCGACUAGGAACCAUGAGGUUGCGGGUUCGGUCCCUGCCCUUGCUUAGUGGGUUAAUGAUCCGGCGUUGCCAUGAGCUGCGGUGUAGGUUGCAGACGCGGCUCGGAUCCCGCGUUGCUGUGGCUCUGGCCUAGGCCGGUGGCUACAGCUCCGAUUCGACCCCUAGCCUGGGAACCCCCAUAUGCCGCAGGAGCGGCCCAAGAAAUAGCCAAAAAAAAAAAGAUUGAGUCAUACCUCGGCAGUAUGUAAGAAGAUGUGGUGCUGGGAUUUAGGAAGGCGCCUUGGCAAGGGUGGGGGGAGGUUGAACUUUGGUGACGUAUACCUAUCCUACAAGGCUGUUGUGAGAAUUACACACGAUAAUGUGGAUAAAAUGCCUGGAACAGAGUAAGUACUUAAUAAAUGUUAGUUCUUCAUCCUUUCAUGUUACUGAUGAUGGCCAAACACACAGUUCUUCCAGAACUUUUAUAUUAGGUCAUAUAAAUAUACAUUUUUAAGCAUUUGGCGAUCUAUCCUGAUUUUAGCAGUGUUAUUUUAUAUUGAUACUUAAGAAAAGCCCCAAUAACAUAUGUUGAAAGUGUAUAGUUUCUCAUUAAGUUAUAGGUUGAUGAUAAUUCAAAAAAUAAUGCAAAGGGUUUUGAAUUUCCUAGUGAAAUGAGACAAGGUUAAACGGUGUUCGAGAGUAGAAUAAUUACAUCAGAAUUCAACUUGCCCCAGUUUUAUUUGUGAAAUUUAAUUUAUCCCAUAAAGAUACUAAAUUGAUAAAGUAUUCUCGUAUUAGUAGAGUCCACUAAGAACAAAGUGGAGGCAUGGAGUCUGGACAUUAGAAAUGAAGGGUGUGCAGGCUGGUACAGCUUGUAGGAGUCAUGGAACUUGGAAGACAAGUUGAAAAGGACCCUGGAAACAUUUGGCUGUAGGCUGAGAAAUGCCUUUGAGAGAGUUAAAGCCGUAAUAAAUAUACCCAAGAUGUUUAAAGAAGAACCUUGUAAAAAGAAAGCAGCCACACUAGACUCCCAGCUGCUAUUCUUUCUGCCAUCCAGUUUAAGCCUCUGCAUGGUUUACAAGGUCUCCCUGUAGACAGUGGAGCAAAUAAUGUAACAGUGAGAGCUCCAGAGCAACUGUCAGGAUGAUUGUCACAGGUAAAGCAUUAAUAAGUAAGCAUAUACCUCCCCAAAGGAGAAAGAGGCUGGGUAGUGGCAGUGAGAGUUGGGGGGGGGGGUUGGUGUUGAUAAUUGAGACCCAGAUGUCAUAUUUUAAAAUGUCCUACUUACCUUUUAAAGUUAUUAACAUGCAUAUAAUGUAGGAAAACUAACAUUUUGGAAAAUUUGGCAUCAGUGAUGAGACUAUAUUAAGACUUUGUAUGCAAGUUAUUGUGCAAAAUUUAAUUGUAACUGCAUGGUCCGUGCUCUCCAAGAGCUUACUGUUCAGAACAAUUGGUGGGUUUGGAGAUUUAGUUAAAUUGCUUACCUGUGAUACUGUUUUCCAUUACUUUUUAUUCAGUAAAUAUAUGUUGGAGACUUGUUAUGUGCCAGGCAUUUUCUUGCCACCAGAGGGAUACAGUGUUGAACAAAACAAAACAAAACCUUCCCUUAAGCUUAAAUUUUAUAGGAGGAAGAGAAAAAAAGACAAAUGACUUUUACUCUCAGCGAGAAGGGAAACAGUGGGUUUUGAGCAGAGGAGCGGCAUGAUUUGAUUUUGUUUUAUCAGUAUGACUCUGGCCUUCAGUUUUGAAAAUAGUGUGAGGUGAGGCAAGGAAGAAUCAGCUGGGAGGCUAUUGCCCUAAAAUCCACACGGUGAUGAUGGAGGCUCAGUUGGCAGAAGUGGUGGUGGAAGUAGGCAGAAUUAUGAUGUUUUUAAGAUAGAGCCAACUGGAUUUGCUGAUGGAUUAGCUAUGGGGUAUGAAGGAAAAAGAACAGUCAGAGAUGACUUGGAGAGUUAAAUCAUCAUUUAUGAAUACGGGGAAUCCUAUAGGAACAUCAGUCUUUUUUUUUUUAAGUUUUAUUGUAGUUGAUUUACAAUGUUGUGAUAAUUUCUGCUGUAUAACAGAGCGAUUUAGCUCUACAUGUACACAUUCAUUCUUUCCCAGAUUCUUUACCCAUACAGAUCAUCACAGAACAUUGGGCAGAGUUCCCUGUGCUACAUAGCAGGUCCCCACUGGAGGAGCAUCAGUCUUAGUGGGGAAGGUCAGGAGGUUGGCAUGGGGUGAUGUUGAGUGUGAAACAUCUAGUAAACAUCCAGGGGGAGAUGUAAAUCUGAAAAUAUGACCCUUGAGUUCAGAGAUGAGGUUUAGUCUCUUGUAGGUGGUUUAUGAAAUGAUGAGACCCAUUGAAAAAAAGUCUGAGGAGUAUCCACUGUGGUUCAGUGGUAACGAACCUGACUAGUAACCAUGAGGACAUGGGUUCGAUUCCUGACCUUACUCAGUGGGUUAAGGAUCCAGAGUUGCUGUAGCUGUGGUGUAGGCCAGCAGCUGCAGCUCUGGUUUGACCUCUAGCCUGGGAACUUCCAUAUGCUGCAGGUGCAGCCCUAAAAAAAAAAAAAA